AUGAGAACGGUGCGGCAGCUCGAGCGCCGGCUCGCAGUGGUGACGGACGGUGGCCGCCAAGCCGAGGUGUGGCAGUGCAAGCGUGGCCAUGAGCUCCCGCUCCAGCGACACGCGUUGCCGCCGUCGUGCUCACGCAGGCGAGCUCUGCACAGCUCAAAUGCGUUUGCAUCGCCAGAGCAUGAUCUAGGCAUCGGUGUCGACGGCGCGGGUGACACGCUGGGGGACGCGCGCCGGCGCUGCCUUACAGAGGUCGCCAGGGACCAGAACCAGUUCGCCGGAGGCUUCCACACCCACGUGCUCCUCAUGCUGCUCCACGCACUCCAACUGCCCGACGAAAUGCUGAGCUGA
rnacentral:rRNA from 1 species